UCUUGGGUGUCCCCAGUGUCCAUUGGGUGGUGGUGGCACUCAGGUGUCCCCAGUGUCCUUUGGAUGGAGGUGGCAUUUAGGUGUCUUGGGUGUCCCCAAUGUCCAUUGGGUGGAGGUGACACUCAGAUGUCCCCAAUGUCCUUUGGGUGGUGGUGGCACUCAGGUGUCCCCAGUGGCCCUUGGGUGGUGGUGACACUCAGGUGUCCCCAGUGUCCUUUGGGUGGUGGUGGCACUCAGAUGUCCCCAGUGUCCAUUGGAUGCAGGUGGCAUUUGGUUGUCUUGGGUGUCCCCAAUGUCCAUUGGAUGGAGGUGGCACUCAGGCAUCCCCAAUGUCCCCAACGUCCAUUGGGUGGUGGUGGCACUUGUGUGACCCCAGUGUCCCCAACGUCCAUUGGGUGGUGGUGGCACUCAGGUGUCCCCAGUGU
rnacentral:lncRNA from 1 species